CGACCUCAGCUCAGGCGGGGCCACCCGCUGAGUUUAA
rnacentral:rRNA from 1 species